CUGUUCAAUUGAUAGAGGUGGGGCCCUGCACCCAUCUGACAUUGGUGCCAUUUCCUAGCGCUAUGCCACCAGUGUCUCACUUGAGACAACCCUUUUAAGUGAAUCGGCAGACAAAGCUGUAAACAAGUGUGGCGCUGUUUCUGGAAGAAAGCAGAUACGUUUUUCUAAUUAAUUCCAUACAGCCCCGUAAAUCUUACUAAUCCUCAUCAGCUCUAAUCGGUUUCUUUGUUAAUAAUGACAAUUCAUUGCAUUUUUAUUUUAUUAUAUUAAUCUAUCAUUUAAUCCAGUUUCAUUGUUGUUUUAAUUACUUGAUGCAUAGCUUGUGUACUUUACUUGGUUUACUCACACAUUUAAAUAUCAGUGUCUUUAGGGGAGCUUCCUUCAGGGAAAAUCCAUUUUGAGCACUGAAAUUUACUAAUGUUACUUAGAUUUACAAAAGAAACAUCCAUUAACUACAACCAUUCGCAGAUUUUUAUUUACAGUCAUGGCC